rnacentral:lncRNA from 1 species
CUCUACUCUCUAUAGACUAGGGCUCUCUACAGAAGGAGGUCUCUACUCUCUAUAGAAGUAGGUCUCUACUCUCUAUAGACUAGGGGUCUCUACAGAAGUAGGUCUCUACUCUCUAUAGACUAGGGUUCUCUACAGAAGGAGGUCUUUACUCUCUACACAAGGAGAGCUCUACUCUCUAUAGACUAGGGGUCUCUCCAGAAGGAGGUCUCUACUCUCUAUAGACUAGGGGUCUCUCCAGAAGGAGGUCUCUACUCUCUAUAGACUAGGGCUCUCUCCAGAAGGAGGUCUCUACUCUCUAUAGACUAGGGGUCUCUCCAGAAGGAGGUCUCUACUCUCUACACAAG